rnacentral:rRNA from 1 species
GACGAACGCUGGCGGCGUGCCUAACACAUGCAAGUCGAACGAAGCUUGAUUUCUGAUUUUUUCGGAAUGACGAAUGAUAUGACUGAGUGGCGGACGGGUGAGUAACGCGUGAGCAACCUGCCCUUCGGAACGGGAUAGUGUCUGGAAACGGACAGUGAUACCGUAUAACAUAUAUUGAUCGCAUGGUCGAUAUAUCAAAACUGAGGUGCCGAAGGAUGGGCUCGCGUCUGAUUAGAUAGUUGGUGGGGUAACGGCCUACCAAGUCGACGAUCAGUAGCCGGACUGAGAGGUUGAACGGCCACAUUGGGACUGAGACACGGCCCAGACUCCUACGGGAGGCAGCAGUGGGGAAUAUUGCACAAUGGGGGAAACCCUGAUGCAGCAACGCCGCGUGAAGGAAGACGGUUUUCGGAUUGUAAACUUCUGUUCUUAGUGAAGAAUAAUGACGGUAGCUAAGGAG